rnacentral:rRNA from 1 species
GUCCACGCCCUAAACGAUGUCUACUAGUUGUUGGGAGAGUAAAAUCUCUUAGUAACGCAGCUAACGCGUGAAGUAGACCGCCUGGGGAGUACGGUCGCAAGAUUAAAACUCAAAGGAAUUGACGGGGGCCCGCACAAGCGGUGGAUUAUGUGGAUUAAUUCGAUGCAACGCGAAAAACCUUACCUGGCCUUGACAUGUACCGAAUUUAGCAGAGAUGCUUUAGUGCUCGAAAGAGAACGGUAACACAGGUGCUGCAUGGCUGUCGU